rnacentral:rRNA from 1 species
UUUUUUAAUCAGCUUGAUCUCAAUGAAGAGGAAUUCGAGGACAUUGUGAUUGACGAGGAAGACCCAUAACUCCAGGAAAGUACUCGAUGGCUUGCCCUAGCUAGGGUUCAUACUAAGAAAACCUUUAGUCAAUCGACAUUUUACAAGGACAUGAGAGCUGCGUGGAAUCCGAUGCAGCGGGCAAGAUUCCGUCCGGUCGGCCCCAAUCGCUUCGUCGUGCAGGCGUCGUGCUUGGGGGAUUGGGAGCGAAUUACGCUACAGGGACCGUGGUUGUUUCGCAACUGGGCAGUGUUACUAUGCCCAUAUGAUGGUUUUACUAAAACAGAGGAGGUUAGCAUUGUUCAUAUGCCUAUUUGGCUGCAAAUCCAUAAGCUUCCAGAUGUUUACUGCAAGAAGAACAUUUUGAAGGGUGCAGUAGAGGUCAUGGAGAUGCGCUUGGAUGGUAAUAUCAGGGGGGACUAUGUAGGAGUCAGGGUUAAGCAUGACAUCAGAAUGCCCCUGACGAAAUCUGUGAGUAUUGUCCGUGGUAGAGAAUGCCAUGUUUACCUUGUUCGAUAUGAAAAGUUGGCAAGAUUUUGCAGAAUGUGUGGCCUUGUAGGCCAUGAAUUCAAGGAGUGCGGAAUGGGUAUACACGAGGAGAAGGAUAUGAAGUUUGGCGUGUGGCUGUACGCGGACGCACCCAACCUAGAGGGGACUCUCAGUCAGCAGAGGAACAUAAGGCCGAUCGUUCCAGGAAUGUGCAUGUUAAAUCUCUGGCAACGAAUGCAUCGGCAGGGCUGGGGAAGAAAGUGGUUGAUCCUGAUAUGA